ensembl:lncRNA
AUGGUGGCACCUGGCAAAGGGGGAGGUCUGAGGGGACAUGGAAAGAGAAAGGGGCUGGCAGAGGCCACUCGGAACCCCUCAGGAUCCCCUCAGGGCUGUUUCCCCUCACAAACCCCUCAGAGCCCUCCCAGAUCCCCUCAGAACCACCUCGGUGGAGAUUUCCCCUCACAGACCCCCUCAAAACCUCUCAGGACCCCUCAGAACCGUCCUAGAUCCCCUCAGAACCACGUCGGUGGAGAUUUCCCUUCACAAACCCCCUCAGAACACCUCACGGAUCCCCUCAGAACCCACUCAGGGCUGUUUCCACUCACAGAUCCCCUCAGAACCCUCCUAGAUCCCCUCAGAAUCACCUCUGUGGAGAUUUCCCCUCACAAACCCCCUCAGAACGCCUCAUGGAUCCCCUCAGAGCCCCCUCAGGGCUGUUUGCCCUCACAAACUCCCUCAGAGUCCCUCUCAGGGCUGUUUUCUUUCACGUAUCCCCUCAGAACCCUCCUAGAUCCCCUCAGAGCUCCCUCGGUGGAGGUUUCCCCUCACAAACACCCUCAGAACCCCUCAGGAUCCCCUCAGAACCCCUCAGGAUCCCCUCAGGGCUGUUUCCCCUCACAAACCCCUCAGAACCCCUCUCAGAGCCCCCUCAGGGCUGUUUUCCUUCAAGGAUCCCCUCAGAACCAUCCUAGAUCCCCUCAGAAUCACCUCGGUGGCAAUUUCCCCUCACAGACCCCCUCAAAACUCUCAGGAUCCCCUCAGAACCCCCUCAGGGCUGUUUCCCCUCACAAACCCCUCAGAGCCCCUACUAGAUCCCCUCAGAACCACGUCGGUGGAGAUUUCCCUUCACAAACACCCUCAGAGCGCCUCACAGAUCCCCUCAGAACCCCCUCAGGGCUGUUUCCCCCUCACAAACCCCUCAGAGCCGUCCUAGAUCCCCUCAGAACCACGUCGGUGGGGAUUUCCCCUCACAAACCCCCUCAAAACCUCUCAGGACCUCCUCAGGACCCCUCAGAACUGUCCUAGAUCCCCCCUGAGCCCCCUCGGUGGAGAUUUCCCCUCACACACCCCCUCAGAACCCAUCUCAGAACCCCCUCAGGGCUGUUUGCCCUCACAAACCCCCUCAGAGCUCCUCUCAGGGCUGUUUCCACUCACAGAUCCCCUCAGAACCCUCCUAGAUCCCCUCAGAACCACAUCGGUGGACAUUUCCCCUCACAGACCCCCUCAAAACCUCUCAGGACCUCCUCAGAACCCCUCAGAACCAUCCUAGAUCCCCUCAGAACUCCCUCGGUGGAGAUUUCCCCUCACAAACCCCCUCAGAACGCCUCACGGAUCCCCUCAGAGCCCCCUCAGGGCUGUUUUCCUUCAAGGAUCCCCUCAGAACCCUCCUAGAUCCCCUCAGAGCCCCCUCGGUGGAGGUUUCCCCUCACAAACUCCUCAGAACCCCUCCCAAAGUCCUCUCAGGGCUGGUUCCCCUCACGGAUCCCCUCAGGGACUCCCUCAAGGCUGGUUCCCCUCACAAAUCCCCUCACAACCCUCCUAGACCCCCUCAGAACCCCCUUGGUUGAGGUUUCCCCUCACAAACCCCCUCUCAGAGCUCCCUCAGAGCUGUUUCCCCUCACAAACACCCUCAGAACCCCUCUCAGAGCUCCCUGAGGGCUGUUUCCCCUCAGAAACUCCUCAGAACCCUCCUAGAUCCCCUCAGAACUCACUCAGGGUGGGUCUCCCCUCACAGAACCCCUCUCAGAGCUGUUUCCCCUCACAAACUCCUCAGAACACUCCCAGACCCCCUCAGAGCCCCCUUGGUGGAGGUUUCCCCUCACAACCCCCCCCAAAACCCCUCUGGAUCUCCCCAAGGAUCCCCUCAAGGCUGUUCGCCCUGACAAAACCCCCUAGAACUCCUCUCAGAGCCCCCUCAGAGCUGUUGCCCCUCACAAAUCCCCUCAGAACCCUCCUACACUCCCUCAAGGACCCCCUCAGGGCUGUUUCCCCUCACAAAUCCCCUCAGAACCCCUCAUAGAGCCCUCACAGAGCCCCCUCCCCACCCUCAGCACCGCCUUUCCCCUCACACCUCCCCUCACCCCGGGGGUCCCCCCACUCCUACCCACCCCCCGAGGGUCUCGGAACCCCUUUUCCCCUCACCGCCUCCGCCGCCCGGAUCCUUCUGGCACCUUCGACGGCUCCGCGCAUGCGCCGCCCCCCCCCCCACGGGCGGCCCCGCCCCUCC